AUUGAACGCUGGCGGCAGGCUUAACACAUGCAAGUCGAGCGGGGUGAUGGUGCUUGCACUAUCACUUAGCGGCGGACGGGUGAGUAAUGCUUAGGAAUCUGCCUAUUAGUGGGGGACAACAUCUCGAAAGGGAUGCUAAUACCGCAUACGUCCUACGGGAGAAAGCAGGGGAUCGCUUGUGACCUUGCGCUAAUAGAUGAGCCUAAGUCGGACUAGCUAGUUGGUGGGGUAAAGGCCUACCAAGGCGACGAUCUGUAGCGGGUCUGAGAGGAUGAGCCGCCACACUGGGACUGAGACACGGCCCAGACUCCUUCGGGAGGCAGCAGUGGGGAAUAUUGGACAAUGGGGGGGACCCAGAUCCAGCCAUGCCGAGUGUGUGAAGAAGGCCUUAUGGUUGUAAAGCACUUUAAGCGAGGAGGAGGCUCUUUUGGUUAAUACCCAAGAUGAGUGGACGUUACUCGCAGAAUAAGCACCGGCUAACUCUGUGCCAGCCGCCGCGGUAA
rnacentral:rRNA from 1 species